AGACAGGUGUGAGCUUCCCACGUGGUGAUCAGCUCGCACCUGUCUUGUGUCCUUUCUAUUCAUAGACUGUCAGAAUGUCACAGCCGGAGGAGACCUGAGGGACCUUCUCAUUCAACCCCUCUGUUAGAUAGAUAAGAAAUGGGAGCCCAGGACUUCAUGGGGUCUUAGAUUAGCCUAAGUUCAUGCAUGGAGGAGCAGAACAGCCAAAGCCCAAUUCUUCAAAUUCCCAGCCUCCACUCCUGCCUGGGCAGCGGACAGACUCCGCCAGCUGACCUGGAGGCUUCCGUUUGACCUCUGACCAAGCAACACCAUAUGGACAAGUUCCCAAGCAGAGAAGGAAAGGAUGCAACCGAAGGCGUGGCGGACAUUAGCAUAGCCUGGUGAUGGAAGCAGAAAUGGUCCUCGGGUUGGCUUCCCCAACCUGGAGACUUCAAAGGGGAGCGAGUCCUGUUCUGUAGCAGUCAUCAGAGGAGCAAACCAAGAAUCCAUCAGGCACUAUUUUCUGUUGUAUGUCUCAUUGUGGGCAUUAUGAUUGUUCCAGAAUUCAUGCAAGUAAGGCAUAUAAGGGGAACUCGCACAACACUUAUGAGUGGCAUGCAAUUUAGCAAUCCCAGAUGAGAGUGAUUUGUAGCACAUUCCCUUGGGGGUAUCUCACUUUUGGGCUCCUGUGCCCCUUGAGGGGAAGGACUUCAGCUUCCAUGCCUUGUCAUUUCCUGAGCCAGGGAAAAGCCUGCUCAGAGAACAGGCUGUGCAAGUCCUGACUGAUGAACCGGACCAAGAGGAAAAAUGGUGUGUCCUGGAGAGAGCUCUGCUUGGGGCCAGAGCAGCUGCUGGUGCACCGCCUACAUGUCCUGCUGGUGGAGUCCUUUUUUUUUUUUUAGAUGAUAUAAGACCUUUGCUUCUCCUUUCUGUGCCUAUAGCUAAGCUAUGUGCUUGCUUGUUAGCACCUCUAAGGCAAAGAGGGGGAAGUGAAACUCAAAUCCCUCCCAUUUGGUUUUUUAGCAGCGUUGACAAAUGUUUUGAUAGGGUAGGAGUUUGUACUUCUUGGGUAACAAUGAUAUUUUGGUCAGAUUUGUGGAUUCUACUAGUAUAGAUAACUGAGAGAAGGAUGAGAACAUACCCUCAUUUUGGGUCAAAGAGAUGUCAGUCUUUUACUCCCAAGUAGGAAGGGCUAGUGGGUAAAACAGAUCAGAUCCCACUUUAAGAGGCAGUUUGGCAUGGUUAAACUAUUCAACCCAUGACAGAAAAAGAGCAGCCCACAUUUUUGUAGUUAAAACCCAAACCUCUUUGGUAAUUGGUCGGGUCAGGAAAAUAAUCUCCAUGAUUUUCUAAAGAGUCAUUCAUAGCACUCACAGCUUCAGACAAGCCCUAAGGACAGCAACCCCAUGUUGCUAGUUUUCUGCUCUAUUACAGAGAGAAUUGAUCCAGCAGACUCUUGCAUGAUAAAAAUUCACAAAAUUACCUCAGCCUAUAAUAGAGUAAAAUUUCAAACCUCACAAGUGUUGGAAGUUGACUUGGUUGGGGGAGCAUUUUCUAUAAAUCAACACAUUUUUUAUUACUUCAGAAGAAGCAAUAAACUAAGGGACCUCUUCCUGAAUGUUGCCCUCUUGGGGUGAAUGAUUCAGAUCACACCUAAUAAAAUGGCCAAUAACCCUAAGUGUGGAUCCUUCCCAAAUCAGGCUGGCAAGUGUCCUAUGUCUGCCCUGAUUUCUGCUGGAGACAAUUAGAAGGCACAAAAAAAUCUUGAAGGAUUUGAAAUAACCUUUGUGAUAUUUUAAAAAGUUAAGGUAAUAUUUCUUCUUAAAGUAGGUCUAGGGGAGGAGGAAAGGGUUGGUAUCAUCUUCCAGGUCUUGGCUAUUUCUGGGUUCUCCAAGAUCUUAGGACAUCCUGCUUCAUGAGAGUGUCUGCUGCCACCAGAGGCCUUCAAAUUCAGCUGGACAAUCAGGUUUCACAAGAGGUGGAGAAGAAGCAUGGGAUUUAUUAAGUCAGUAAUUUCAACUAGAUUAGAGGUUUUCAAAGUGUGUUCCCUAGACCAACAGCAUCUCCAUUGCCUUGGAAUGUGUUAGAAAUGCAAAUUCUCAGUCAUCUAGACUCCUGGAUUAAAACACAAAUCUGGAAUGUAGCCCAACCAACCAUGUGGUGGCACAUGCUAGUCAAAUCCCAGUAGUUUGGGAGGCUGAGGCAGGAGGAUUAUGAGUUCAAAGCCAGCCUCAGUAACAGUGAGGCACUAAGUAACUCAGUGAGACCCUGUCUCUAAAUAAAAUACAAAACAGGGCUGGGAUGUGGGUCAGUGGUCGAGUUCAAUCCCUGGUACAGAAAAAAAAAAUCUGGAAAGUAAUCCAGUAAUGUAUACAUUAAAACCCUUCAGGUUAUACAGGUGCUUGCUGAACUUUGGGAAUCAGUGGACUGAAUAACUGCAGGUACUUUCAGCUUAGAGGUUCUACUGUCAUCCAACUCUGGGAAGAGAUUCUAUAUUUGAGACUCAAACUAUGCCACCUAACUGGGAUGGUGAAGAGAUAAUAGUGAAGAGAUAAUCUUACAGUACUGCAAUUGUAAGACAAAUUGUCUUAAUAAAUAUAUACUUUAUGUCCAUAUAUUUCUAUGUAUAAACAGAUUUUUUAAAGACUUUAGGAAAUAUGGAAAAAGUUUAAAAAUCAGAGGUAAUAAUUAUUAACUUCUUUGUAUAUUGCUUUUAGUUUCUAUGCCUAUGUGUUUUUAAUAAAACUGAAAUCAGUUUCUUAAUUGUAUUUUUAUUUAACGUUAUUUUGUAAGCAUUUCCAAUAUCAGUGGAUAUUUAAUUUUAAAGAUUUUAUUCAUACUUUAUGUAUAUAUGUAUUUUUGUGGUGCUAGAGAAUAAACCCAGGGCUUUCAUAUA